UACGGAGGGUGCAAGCGUUAUCCGGAUUCACUGGGUUUAAAGGGUGCGUAGGUGGGUUGCCAAGUCCGUGGUGAAAUCUCUGAGCUUAACUCAGAAACUGCCGUGGAUACUACCGGUCUUGAAUAUCGUGGAGGUGAGCGGAAUAUGUCAUGUAGCGGUGAAAUGCUUAGAUAUGACAUAGAACACCAAUUGCGAAGGCAGCUCACUACCCGAAUAUUGACUCUGAGGCACGAAAGCGUGGGGAUCAAACAGG
rnacentral:rRNA from 1 species